rnacentral:rRNA from 1 species
UACGAAGGGGGCUAGCGUUGCUCGGAAUCACUGGGCGUAAAGCGCACGUAGGCGGACUCUUAAGUCGGUGGUGAAAUCCUGGGAGCUCAACUCCAGAACUGCCUUCGAUACUGGGAGUCUUGAGUUCGGGAGAGGUGAGUGGAACUGCGAGUGUAGAGGUGAAAUUCGUAGAUAUUCGCAAGAACACCAGUGGCGAAGGCGGCUCACUGGCCCGAUACUGACGCUGAGGUGCGAAAGCGUGGGGAG